UAUUCUCUGCUUUUCUGAAACAAUAACUUUUUCUUUUAUUAGUUAUUUUUGUCACUUAAGGACCUCCAGCUAACAUCCCUAUCUGCUUCUAUAGCAAAGUAAAUAUUUUGAAUUUCAGUAGGAGUUGUUUAAUAUUUAUUUCUUUCAGUAAUAUGCUAGAUUAAUAAUCGGUAAAGUGGUAUUCAAGUUCUUUAGACAUGUGAAACUGACAUAUAUAUGGAUUGAAAUGUUGGAUGAUAAGUUUUAUAUAAAGUUUCCACUAUUAUAAAUGAUAGUAAUUUUAUUAGCUCAAAUAUUUAGAUAUUGUAUUCAAACUAACUCCAGGUUUAGUUGACUGAUGGGGUAGUACUCAAUAGUCAUAUUCAUGGUUGUCAAUCUCGAGUUACAACUCGUAAUAUCGUCCGAGAUUACGAGUUUAUUGAAGCAAAACGGGACAACUCGGAGGUAAACUUGUUUUUGAGUAAACUCGAGUAAUCUCGCAUGAAAUCGCGAGUUUACAAUGAGAUCCGCGAGUUUACCAAACCCUGAAACCCAAAGGGUAGAAACCCUCGUUGUUCAUUCUUUUCUUCUAUCCUUCGCACUUUGUCUACUUCUCCUCCACACGUCUUUCUCCUUCGCACCGCUGCUCCUUCGAGCGUCGUUUGGAUUCGCACCGUGCUGCUGCUCCUCUAUGCGUCAUUCCGAUCUGUGCGCAUCCGCGCCAUGCUGCUGCUCCUCCGUGUGUCGUUCUGAUCCGUGCCACAUCGUGCCUCCUCUGCGCAUCGUCCCGAUCCGCGCCGCUCGCGUCGUUCCUCCUCUGCACGUCGUUCUCCGAGAGUCGCACUCACUCGCUGUCGAUGCUCGCAGUCGCACUCGUCAUUCUCCGCGCAAAUGUUAAGUCAAGUAACAUUAGCCACUGCGUUCUUUCUCCUUUUUUAUUCUCUAUCUAAUAUAUUUUUAUUCUCUAUUUAAUAUAUUAGUCUUUUCUUAAUUUUUUAGUUGCUGUCAUUUUAUUUUUUAUUUGCUGUCAUUUUAUUUUUUAUUUGCUGCAAUUUAUUAUUUUGCUUUAAUACAAAGUUAAAUGGUAGUUAUUAUGUUAUUUUUAAGUAUUUUUAACAUAUUUUUUAUACUAAGUAAACUCAUACGAGUUUACGAUACAAGUUUACGGAGCCUCCACGAGAUUACGUAAACUUUCGAUAUUAACACCCUUGGUCAUAUUGCAUUUUCCAUUUCGUACAAAAUUUUGGAGGGCUGCUAUUUUUAGUCACUAGAGUGGACAUACCUAUGUUUGAAUAAAAGUUGGAUUGGUGAUUGGUCAUUGGACCUAAAAUAAGAAUUUCAAGGUGUUAGGGAUGCUGGUUGAACCAAGAUUUUUAUACAUAUGACAACAACAGAAGUCUUUUCCCAUUAAGUGAAGUUUUCUACAUGAAUCAUAUCACACCAUUAGAUUCGGCUAUAAAUCUAGUGCAUAGCAAGGCCAUUUAGAGCUAUUUUCUUUUCAGUGGUUUCAGUGGUUUUGCUUAGACUCCUUUUACCUAUAAUUUUUGGGUCAUCUUCCAUUAUAUGAACUCUUCUUUUUGAGUGAGAUUUUAUCAUAUGAACAGGUCAAGGCCCAUAAUGACUAGGGUUUAUCAAAAGAGAGUUAGAAGAUAAGUAGAGGAUAAUGCCCUCUAGAGUCUAUUACUGUAGUAUUUGUAAUUCUGUUACUUACAAUUCUGCUAAGUUGUUAGUGAUAACAAAUAGAAAUAAGGAAUGGGAAGAACAUCACUAUUGUUGUAUUGUAAGGGAUCUCAUGGGAAAUUUCUGGUCUCUUGAAUACUCAGUUGCAUCCCUUUCACAGGGGACCUAUACAGGCCAAUGUUGGGAAGUUCUUGAUUCAAUCACAUUUUUCUUUCUAUCUAUUUCUAUCAUUUUACCAUCUUUUUUCUCAGCAAGUGCUACUCAAAUUUCCUCUCUUUCAUUCUGAUUUUAUGUCAUUUUACGGGUCCAUUAAUCCUGCAACAUCCUCAUCUAUGAUAUACUUUGUUUUUGUUUGAUCUUUACUGCCCACCAUUUAGUCAGUACCCAUUUAGUCAAUACCAUAAAGCAUAGUAGGUCUUAUGGCUGUAUCACCUGUAUGGUUAAGUUUUUCUUUCAGCUUGAGAAGCACCUUUCCAUCACAAAUAGCACCUCCAUUUCAUUUUCCCUGCUUGAAAUCCUAUAAUUUUCAUAUAUACAUGUAUUAAAAUACUCUUGUACCGAUGUUAAAUAUUCUUAUUUACAGAAGUUUAGGGGGGUCUCUUGCUGCACCAGAAGUGCUUUCAAGUUUAAAAUGAGAUUGUUCCUUUUCUCCCUAAGCUUCUUUGCUCUUUUUCUGUUUUGGCCUUUUGGUUUUUAUAUGAUUGAGAAUCAUGAGGCUUCUCUCCAGUUUUUAAUGGUUGCAAACCUUUCUGCAAGGUGAUGAUAGGAUGCAUUGGUUCAAUCACAAAAUCAAAAGUAACAAAAACUAUUGGACUAUUGGAGGAAUACUAUAAAUGCACCAAGAUUUUGGGUGUCUCUUAAAAUCUGAAUUAGCAAAACCCUUGAAGCAGCCAUGUGCAGAACAUGACAUGAAUAAUUCUCCUCAUUUAAAUGUGGGAAAGCAAGGAGGAGAAGCCCUUUUAAAGAUGCAAGUGUUUCUUUCCAAUCACAUGCACCAUAGAAUCACCAAAAUUGAACUUUUAUAGGAAGCCUUUGGGGCUGCUUGGUUUAGGAAAAUAUUUUUCUGUUUUCAUUUUAUGCUUUAAAUUUUAAUUAAAAAUAUGUCAUCUUAUUUUCAACUUAUGCCUUUUCAAAGAUUUGUAUCAGAAAUAUUAAAAACAACUUUUUUCCUUUACAAAAUGUUGAAAAUAGGAACAAUGAAAAUAAAAUGACAUUUUUGUAAAUAAAACUGAAAGAAGAAAACAUUUGUCAAACCAAAUGGCCCCUUAGUCUCCUUUUUAUGGCAACUUUUGUAUUAUACCAUAAAAAAAAAUGCUCCAGACUCCAGAAUAGUGGGACUCACCCAUUGUUCUAACAUUAUAAUAAAGCUUGUUCCAAAAUAGAAGCUUUACAAAUCAAGAAUAAAUGCCUAAUUGCUUCUGGACUAGACUUGGAUAUAAGUAUGACAAACAUGUCAGUUGUGAGGUAAGUUUUUCAAAUUUGCAUGAAGUCAUUUAGACAUUUGUAUGAAUCAUGUUUAAGUACUUGCUUCUAAACAAAUACUUACACAAAAGUGUGCUUCGGAUUUCCAAAUGGGUUGCGUAUCUAGAGUAGUUAAGUUCUUCAAAUUUGUAUCAAGUUGUUUGUACUAAUUUUGUUAACUUGUUUAAGUAGUUUAAGUAUUUCCAUCAAAACAAAAAGACUUGACCUGAGAGGGUGCUUUGGAUUUCAAAAUUAGUUCAUUUAGGAGAAAGUGUUGUAAGGAUAGGAGUUUAAGGAACUAAAAGAGGAAAAUUUUGCAGGAGCUAAACACUAGAAAAUCCAAGGUCCAAAAUUGUUCGAGUAGUCUCAAGUAAAACCAUAAGGGGUUUGAGUUUUCUUGUUUGUUUGACAUUCAAAUCCCAAGCAAGGCUCCAUUUGCUGACACCAGAAGAUUAUUCUUGGUGUCAAAUUUCUUGGAGAUGGAGUGAGAAAAAGUAACAGUAGCUGCCAGAGAGAAGGAUGAGACAGGUGGAGCACGAAUCAAUGGUGGUGGAAGAGGAGGAUAAGAAUUUUGAGCAGAAGCCAUGAGAUUGGUUUAGCAAUCGAACCCUGCUCUGGAUACCAUAUUACAGUUGAAAGAAAAUGAAAAAUGAUUUGUAUUUGAUUCCGGUAAAAUGAAAUUGUUUGCAAAAGUUGAUUUAGUUAGCUAUUUAUAGAUGUACAACUAAGAAACAGAAACCUAACUAGCUAUAAUUAGUUAGUGUAACAGCUGUCAGUGUCACCUAACAUAAAGUUACAGUACUACUCAAGUAAAACAUACUCUAAUAGAAACCAAUGAUGCAACUGUGCACCAUGAUUUUUCCUACAAUGGGGUUUUCAAUGCUAUCCAAAUGCGCUAAAUCAGUGUCAUUGUAUUUAGCCCUACAAUAAUCCUACCAACUAACACAAUGAUCUCUUUGUUGUUUGCCAACACCUGACUAGAGAAGUCCCUUGUGAUUUUUCUAUUCACACAAUUGAUUUUCAAAACUUCAAAUAUUACCCCAACAGACAGAACUACUGUGCAACGUGAUACUUCUUUCCACAAUCAGGUUUUCAAUGAUAUCCAAAUAGACUAAAUCUGUGAUAUUUUUCCUAGUACAACAAUCCUACUGGUUACCACAAUGGUCUAUUAUCUAUUUUCCCUCACCUGACAGAGUAAUUCCCAUAUGACUUUCUUUGAUUUUUGGGCCACUUCCAUUCGGCAACAUGCAAAUGACACUAGUGGGGGAUUCUAGCUUAACAGAUUGGGAUAAGGUUUGUUUAACCACCUAAGUAAAAGAACCCUUCCAGCUAACCUAAAAGGAUAUGAAUAACAAGAUCCAAUAAAGAAGCUCAAGAGUUGCCACCUAUAGGAACCCCCAGGAAGUGAAGGAUACUGCAGAACGUGGCAUCCGGUCACAACCAUCAUAUAGGUAGAAAAUACUAGUUAUCAACAUUUACACUUGCCUGGCCACUAUGAACAAAAUGAACCUCUCAAUGUCAUAGUACAUAAGAAUAGAAAGUAUUCAUUAAAUUAUUGAUAUCCUCUGGUAGAAACAUUAAGGGGAAAAUGUUUUUUUAGUAAUAUACUUUUAGUCAAAUUUGGUCAAACUCUUAAUUUUUUGGGGUUUAGUACACCAUUGUAAUUAGGGCCUUUGGCUCCUAGUGGUACGCUAAGAAAUCCCCAUGAGCUUCAGUCCUUUGGACCAGCUAUGGGACUAAUUCUUGGUCAGGGAUUAGUCACAUUUAAAGCUCCUUGCCCUCCUCAAUAGUGUAUUCUGCAGGGAUUGAACCUAGGUCCUCCCUCACAAGCUCAGCAUGAGUUGCCAACUGAGCUACACCCAUUGGGUGUCAAAGUUAAUUCUUUUACUUUCAUAUCGAUGAAUUUAGUCCUCAAAUUUUAGAAAACAUGUGGAUUUAGUCAUUUUCACUAAAAAAAAUUCAUCACUUUUUUUUUUUUUUUUUUUUUU